rnacentral:rRNA from 1 species
GGCCUAACACAUGCAAGUCGAGCGGCAGCGGGAAAGUAGCUUGCUACUUUUGCCGGCGAGCGGCGGACGGGUGAGUAAUGCCUGGGGAUCUGCCCAGUCGAGGGGGAUAACAGUUGGAAACGGCUGCUAAUACCGCAUACGCCCUACGGGGGAAAGCAGGGGACCUUCGGGCCUUGCGCGAUUGGAUGAACCCAGGUGGGAUUAGCUAGUUGGUGGGGUAAUGGCUCACCAAGGCGACGAUCCCUAGCUGGUCUGAGAGGAUGAUCAGCCACACUGGAACUGAGACACGGUCCAGACUCCUACGGGAGGCAGCAGUGGGGAAUAUUGCACAAUGGGGGAAACCCUGAUGCAGCCAUGCCGCGUGUGUGAAGAAGGCCUUCGGGUUGUAAAGCACUUUCAGCGAGGAGGAAAGGUUGAUGCCUAAUACGCAUCAGCUGUGACGUUACUCGC